UAAGCGGAGGAAAAGAAACCAACCGGGAUUGCCUCAGUAACGGCGAGUGAAGCGGCAAGAGCUCAAAUUUGAAAGCUGGCUCCUUCGGAGUCCGCAUUGUAAUUUGCAGAGGAUGCUUUGGGUGCGGCCCCCGUCUAAGUUCCCUGGAACGGGCCGUCAGAGAGGGUGAGAAUCCCGUUCUUGGGCGGGGUGUCCGUGCCCGUGUAAAGCUCCUUCGACGAGUCGAGUUGUUUGGGAAUGCAGCUCUAAAUGGGUGGUAAAUUUCAUCUAAAGCUAAAUACUGGCCGGAGACCGAUAGCGCACAAGUAGAGUGAUCGAAAGAUGAAAAGCACUUUGAAAAGAGAGUUAAACAGCACGUGAAAUUGUUGAAAGGGAAGCGCUUGCGACCAGACUCGCCCGCGGGGUUCAGCCGGCAUUCGUGCCGGUGUACUUCCCCGUGGGCGGGCCAGCGUCGGUUUGGGCGGCCGGUCAAAGGCCCCUGGAAUGUAGUACCCUCCGGGGUACCUUAUAGCCAGGGGUGCAAUGCGGCCAGCCUGGACCGAGGAACGCGCUUCGGCACGGACGCUGGCAUAAUGGUCGUAAACGACCCGUCUUGAAACACGGACCAAGGAGUCUAACAUCUACGCGAGUGUUCGGGUGUCAAACCCGUGCGCGCAGUGAAAGCGAACGGAGGUGGGAGCCCCCUCGCGGGGCGCACCAUCGACCGAUCCUGAUGUCUUCGGAUGGAUUUGAGUAAGAGCGUAAAUGUGGGGACCCGAAAGAUGGUGAACUAUGCCUGAAUAGGGCGAAGCCAGAGGAAACUCUGGUGGAGGCUCGCAGCGGUUCUGACGUGCAAAUCGAUCGUCAAAUUUGGGUAUAGGGGCG
rnacentral:rRNA from 1 species